rnacentral:misc_RNA from 1 species
AAGUCGUAACAAGGUCUCCGUAGGUGAACCUGCGGAGGGAUCAUUAACACGUAUCCAAACGUAUUUAAACCCAAACCGGUCUCAUAUACCUCCCAUUAAGGGUGUGGUUGGUUAGCAAGCCAUAGGUGGAUUUGCUUUACUUUCGAGUAGAGUAACUGCUUGCAAUCUACAGCUCUCGAGGCUAAACCUCCCCAUUAUGGUGUAAUUUUCGUCACCUGGCUAUUAGGCCACCCCUAUAAGUUGGGGGGUGUAUACCUUUCGGGGUUGCACCUUCUCAAUGAACUAGGAGCCUCUUAGCCUUAUUGAACCCUAUUUUUAACCCCUUUAACUUAAAUUAUUACUGAUUUUACUUCUCUAUGGACUUUGUGUCUAUAUUGAUGUAUACGAAAUAGUGAACAACUCUUAGCAACGGAUAUCUUGGUUCUCGUACCGAUGAAGAACGCAG